AUUGAACGCUGGCGGCAGGCCUAACACAUGCAAGUCGAGCGGAUGAGGAAAGCUUGCUUUUCGAUUCAGCGGCGGACGGGUGAGUAAUGCCUAGGAAUCUGCCUGUUAGUGGGGGAUAACUCGGGGAAACUCGGGCUGAUACCGCAUACGUCCUACGGGAGAAAGUGGGGGAUCUUCGGACCUUACGCUAACAGAUGAGCCUAGGUCGGAUUAGCUAGUAGGUGAGGUAAUGGCUCACCUAGGCGACGAUCCGUAACUGGUCUGGGAGGAUGAUCAGUCACACUGGAACUGAGACACGGUCCAGACUCCUACGGGAGGCAGCAGUGGGGAAUAUUGGACAAUGGGCGAAAGCCUGAUCCAGCCAUGCCGCGUGUGUGAAGAAGGUCUUCGGAUUGUAAAGCACUUUAAGUUGGGAGGAAGGGUAUUCACCUAAUACGUGGGUACUUUGACGUUACCAACAGAAUAAGCACCGGCUAACUCCGUGCCAGCCGCCGCUGUAAAAC
rnacentral:rRNA from 1 species